CUACGGGUGGCUGCAGUGAGGAAUAUUGCACAAUGGGGGAAACCCUGAUGCAGCAACGCCGCGUGGAGGAUGACGCAUUUCGGUGUGUAAACUCCUUUUAUAUGUCAAGAAAAUGACGGUAGCAUAUGAAUAAGCACCGGCUAACUCCGUGCCAGCAGCCGCGGUAGUACGGAGGGUGCAAGCGUUACUCGGAAUCACUGGGCGUAAAGGACGCGUAGGCUGGUUGGUAAGUCAGGUGUGAAAUCCUACAGCUUAACUGUAGAACUGCACUUGAAACUACCAACCUAGAGUAUGGGAGGGGGAGAUGGAAUUAGUGGUGUAGGGGUAAAAUCCGUAGAUAUCACUAGGAAUACCGAAAGCGAAGGCGAUCUCCUGGAACAUAACUGACGCUAAGGCGUGAAAGCGUGGGGAGCAAACAGGAUUAGAUACCCUCGUAGUC
rnacentral:rRNA from 1 species